rnacentral:misc_RNA from 1 species
UUUCCGUAGGUGAACCUGCGGAAGGAUCAUUAUUGUAUAACCGAGGUGCGAGGGCUGUCGCUGACCCGAAAGGUCGUGCACGCCCGAGUGCCCUCACACACAUCCAUCUCACCCCUGUGUGCACCACCGCGUGGGUCCCCCUUUGGCUUGUUCGGAGGGGGGCUUACGUUUUCACACAAACUUUGUAUGCAGUGUAGAAUGUAUUUUUUGUUUUUGCGAUCACGCAAUCAAUACAACUUUCAACAACGGAUCUCUUGGCUCUU